rnacentral:lncRNA from 1 species
UCCUCUGUUACCUGUAGGUGCUGUUUCCUCCAGUCAGUUCAUCCUAACACUGUUCCUCUGCUACCUGUAGGUGCUGUUUCCUCCAGUCAGUUCAUCCUAACACUGUUCCUCUGUUACCCGUAGGUGCUGUUUCCUCCAGUCAGUUCAUCCUAACACUGUUCCUCUGCUAUCUGUAGGUGCUGUUUCCUCCAGUCAGUUCAUCCUAACACUGUUCCUCUGUUACCCGUAGGUGCUGUUUCCUCCAGUCAGUUCAUCCUAACACUGUUCCUCUGCUACCUGUAGGUGCUGUUUCCUCCAGUCAGUUCAUCCUAACACUGUUCCUCUGUUACCUGUAGGUGCUGUUUCCGCCAGUCAGGAUGGGAUCUCUGCAGCAGAGGUGGAGCUGAGAGUCAGAC